rnacentral:misc_RNA from 1 species
ACAAUUUACUUUCGAUUUGAUAAACUAACUGUUACUAAGCAGUGUGAUCACUUUAUUCAACACAAUGGGGAGGUGAAAUCUUCACACGCGAUGUUCCCAGUGGUGUGUCAGAAGUUUGUCCAUGCCAUGGGGCCGGACACCAUGAUCCCCGCCCAGAGUAUGGAUGCGGCUCAGGAUCUGGACCUCCUCAAGGUCGUGCUGAGGAAGACCAAGCGAAGCUAUCUGUUCUGGGAGAAAGUCAAGCACACAGUCCUGGAUUUUCAUCUCCAGUCCUUGCUACAGAACAGCCAUGUUGUGCUGGAUGUUCCAAGUAAGACGAAGGAAUUUUGCCAGUUCAAUCCGGAGACAAAGUAUUCCCUGGACGGAAAGCUCGGGAUCCAGCUGAUGAGGGAACUAAUGGAUGCCUCGCUAUCUGCUUCGGAUUCCGUCACCAUUUCAUCUCGACUUGGAACCAUCCAGGAGAAAAGUCUGGACUCUGAAGCUUUGCUGGAGGCACUGGAGGACAGGUAACUCUGUUUAUGAAUAAUCAUAAAAAAUGUGUGGAUUUAAAAGUUGGGGCUCGAUGGUCAUGGCAGCUAUGUACCGUAAUCUCCUUAAUAAGUAGAGCUCUGUAUAACGAUAUAGGAAAACAUUCAAACUUGAAAGAUAAAAUAUUGAUUUUUUUCUUUACUAAACAAAAAUUCAUAGCUUUAAUAGGAAAUCGUUUUUAUUAAAUUUAAGUUAGAUUUGAUGGUCACAGGUAAUUUGUUUACCACCAAGCUACUUCAAAUUCAAUGGCUAUGCUUUCAUGUUUUUAACAAAAAGAUUCUCCCAAUCUCUUUACUGUUAGUUAUUUUAAAAUACUUAUAAACUAGAAAGUGGUACUAACAAAUUAUUAGAAAUAGAUGCUAUCAACAAGUGCACUGUUAGGCAGUACUUUUUGCUGAGUGACUGACUGCAUGUGUGAAUUUUAGCCAUUAAUAGUGUUCAAUUUGUGCUGCUAUAUUAGGAUGUUAGGAUCCUUCUGGAUGUUGGAAUAAUUAAAGGAGGCUGGACAUGACUAACACGGUGGUACGUCAGGUUGUGGAGAGUACACAACAGUCCAUCAGUCUGUGUCUCGUCAAGGAUCUCUACCUCGUCCAGAAAGAUGCCGAAAUCAAGCGCGUGAAGACGGUGGACGAAGACCUGGAUGUCAACGAAAAGGUGAAGGUGGUUCCAGGCGACAUUGAUGAGAAAGUCCACUACAAUAAAACGGGCGACAUUGUUGUCCCUGCAGGAACUCCCGUAGCUUACAAAGUCUGGGAACUCAAGGUCAGGGCCAAAGAUGGGGCCAUAACCCCCAUGACCUUACCCAGGGGCCAGGGAGGUUUCCAAGGGAUUCUGAUGAGGGACUAUGCUGACACAGUAGAUCCUGACAAGGAAACUGACAAAGGAUAUAAAAUGGUGGCAGACAUUUUGAAUCCCUUGGUGACGAUGUCAGAGUCGGAGAGAGGCAGCCUGAUUGGUGCCUUGAAGACAGUCAUGGGCAACCAAGCAGAAAUCAAGCGAAUCGAAAACCUGUUAAGUGAUGUUGAAGCUGAGAGUUUAAAAGAAGCUUCAUAUUCAGAAUGGAUAAAAAAUGGUUCUUUUGAAGAAACAGUUUACAGAACAAUUCUCACACCUUGUGGAUUUGUCAUUAAGGAUGACCAGCUUCAGUACCCACUGGCCCCCAGCAGUGUUCUAACAGCCUGUGCCUAUGUAUUUGGUGCACUGGACGAAUUUGACAAACGAGAACUACAGCAACUUCUGUCAUGUGACAAAGAGGCUGGGAUAUCCCUUGUAGAAAUUUGUUCCCAGGCCAUCAGUGGAGAGACUGCCAUAGUGCUUCCCGACUUCCCCAAGGUCCUCACAAAAGGCACUGUGGGUAGAGACCUGGCGGAAUCCCUCGGGUUCCAACUCAACGACGACAAGAACGCAAUUACCUCUCCUAGUCAGAUCACCAAAACGUUGGAGAACAGUUACUGGGUGCUGUACGCCCUCUUUAAAUGAGACCUUGUGUCCCAGCUGAUGGGUUUAGCUAUGUUCUGAUCAUCAGCGAUAUUUUGUUAACAAGAUUUUGUUUAUUGUAGUUUAUUUGUAAGUUUUAAGAAGCCAAGCUUUGAGUUAAUUGUACAUUAUGUAUAACAUACAUGUAAGAGCAGUUCUUAGUCAGGUUGAUAUAGUACUAGUCAGUCAGCACAGUGGAACCAAGAGUUGUGUUUAUACCUGUAAUCAUCGCUCAACAGGUUUAUCAUGAUUUAUUAUGCAAUACAAUGUGUUGAUUUGAAUUCUAAAAUUUUACAUGUACAGUUGAACUUUGAUAUCUCAAACACUGAUAUCUCGAAUACAAUGGAUAUGUCGAAGUUAUUUUUAAGUCCCAACCACUUGUUUUUAAGUAUAUUACCCUUGAUAUCUCAAAUACUCAGAUAUCUCAAAGUUUUUAAACAGUCCCAUCUAGUUCGAGAUAAUGAAGUUUGACUGUAUGUGCAAGUUAAUACAUGUACUUAAAUGCAAUUUUGACAAUUCCUUUAUUAAAUCAAUAAACAUGAAUGUACUAGAAGAAAUUUUUGUAUGCAAAUUUACCUGCAUGUUCUAAAUGCAUUACUUUGUACAUUGAACAUAAAUUUGAUCUCAUAAUCUUGCCUUCUUUGAUGUAGUAACUUUAUUCAAUAAAACUGUCUGUCGG